rnacentral:rRNA from 1 species
AAAUUGAAGAGUUUGAUCAUGGCUCAGAUUGAACGCUGGCGGCAGGCCUAACACAUGCAAGUCGAACGGUAACAGGAAUCAGCUUGCUGAUUCGCUGACGAGUGGCGGACGGGUGAGUAAUGUCUGGGAAACUGCCUGAUGGAGGGGGAUAACUACUGGAAACGGUAGCUAAUACCGCAUAAUGUCGCAAGACCAAAGAGGGGGACCUUCGGGCCUCUUGCCAUCGGAUGUGCCCAGAUGGGAUUAGCUAGUAGGUGGGGUA